UUCCUUAAAAUCACCUUCUAUUUGUUUAAAAGCCAUUGCUUUUGCCCUACACGUUGUAGACCGAGAAACACCUGUGUUCCACUUCUUAGAAACUUUGUUUUGUAGGUUAUACAGAUUAAUAUUGGGAUUCUCCUUGAUGGUUUUCUCUAACCUCUCACUCAACCAUUUUGUUGUCAUUAAACGGAUGUUAAAUUCUCUACUGCAUGUGUGAUUGUCUAUAAUCUUCCUUAGCUGCCAUGUAUUUUGAGAUGCCUUAUAUGCAUAAUAUGCAUACCAUGUACAUUUUCCUUUUGCCCCCACAACAUUUAACACAAACUCUUUUUUUGUCAUUUUUAUAAACUUUUAAUUUCCUACCAUUCUCUACACCAUAUGUUCUUAUUGCUUCUGUAAAAUCCUUUUUUGAGGGAAGUACGUGCCCACUACCCAUUUAUAUUGUUCCAUACUUUUCGGCAUUGAAAAAAUCCCAAAAUCCCCAUACCCAUCUCUAUCAUCAUAUGUAUUAUCACUUUCCACAACAUUGUUCAAAGUGUCAGAUUCCCAAUCACCUUCAAAUAUAUCAAAUUUCACUUCAUCUCCAUGGUUAGUUAACUCACCCUCUUCGGACGCAUUCCAACUUCUAACAUCAUAUUCACCAGCUUUUACAUCAGCCUGUACCUUAGCCUAUACCUCUGGUUCAGCCUUUGCCUCUACCUGACCCUUUACAUUCACACCAACAUGAAUGUCUCCCUCCCCAUUUGGCUCAACCUCUGCCUGAGCCUCUACCUCACAGUGUGCUUGAAAUCCAUCACCCACUACCUCAGCCUAUACCUCACCAUGUACAUCACCCAUUGCCUCAACCUCUACCUCUACGUUGACACCAACAUGAAUGUCUCCCUCCCCAUUUGCCUCAACCUAUGUUUGACCCUCUACCUCUGCCUCUACAUUAGGUACUACCUUAGACUCUAUAUCAGCCACUACACCAUCCUCUUCCUCUAUCUCAACUUGAUUUUCACCACACUCUGUUUGAACUUCUACUUGAGCAUUAUGUCUCUCAAUUUGGGGUUCAGGAAAGUAUUCCAACUCUAGAAGAUAAUGAGGCU
rnacentral:lncRNA from 1 species